UCUGGCUUAUAAGCCCAGCGGUCUCGCUAGAGUGCCCAACUUAAUGCUGGCAACUAACGACGAGGGUUGCGCUCGUUGCGGGACUUAACCCAACAUCUCACAACACGAGCUGACGACAGCCAUGCAGCACCUGUCACCGGGUCCCCGAAGGGAACCCCUGGUUUCCCAGGGUAGCCCGGGAUGUCAAGCCUAGGUAAGGUUUUUCGCGUAGCAUCGAAUUAAACCACAUGCUCCACCGCUUGUGCGGGCCCCCGUCAAUUCCUUUGAGUUUUAAUCUUGCGACCGUAAUCCCCAGGCGGAAUACUUAAUGCGUUAGCUACGUCACCGAGACAAUUAGGUAUCCCGACAACUAGUAUUCAUCGUUUAGGGCGUGGACUAC
rnacentral:misc_RNA from 1 species